AUGGCCUGGCUUCCCUUCUGCCUCCUGCCCCUCGUCGUCUCCACAGGUCUCUGUGCAUCUCCUGUGCUCACCCAGCCCCCAUCUGCCUCUGCCUCCCCGGGGGCCUCGGCCAAGCUCACCUGCACCCUGAGCCAGGAGCACAGCACCUACAAUAUUGGCUGGUAUCAGCAGAGAGCAGGACAGGCCCCUCGGUUCAUCAUGCGACUUUACAGCAACGGGACCCACACCAAGGGGGACGGGAUCCCCGAUCGCUUCUCGGGCUCCAGCUCCGGGGCCGACCGCUAUUUGACCAUCUCCCCCCUCCAGUCUGAGGACGAGACCGAGUAUUACUGUGGAGUGGGCUAUAGCAUUGGUGGACAAUCCGGACAACCACAGUGA